GUUGAUAUUUUAAUAUUCAAAUGACGACAACAAAGGGACAGCCAGAGUGUCUGAAGAGGAUCAAUAAGGUGUUGAGAGCAGUCUCCGUCGGCACAGAAAGGGAGAAACAUCAGAGCAGAGGGAAGCUGUGGACAUUCACAAGAUGGUGAAGAUGCAGUGGAGUCUGUUGGUGUUGAUUGUGAUGGGUCAGUGUUCCUCCAUUGGGGGUCAGCUGUGUGACUACCACUUCAUUGAUAUGAGAAGA